rnacentral:lncRNA from 10 species
CAAUCUUUUUUUUUUAAUUAGGAUCCUGAAAAUGAAUCAACUGCAUACAACAAUCUUGGCAGCAAAAAAAGUGGCUCAAUGUUCAGAGAGCUGCUCAACGGUGGUCUUGUAAAUGAACAACCCACAAUUACAAUGAAAACAAGCAACCUAGCAGCUGCUGGCAUCCAAAUAAGGCAAGCAAUCUAGGAAAUGACUGGCUUACUCAGAAGAAGGAAUACAGAAUCCUCUCCUCCUUCAAAAUGUAGACAAUUGAGACAACAGAGACAGACACUCAAA